rnacentral:rRNA from 1 species
GACGAACGCUGGCGGCGUGCCUAAUACAUGCAAGUCGAGCGAGUCUGCCUUGAAGAUCGGAGUGCUUGCACUCUGUGAAACAAGAUACAGGCUAGCGGCGGACGGGUGAGUAACACGUGGGUAACCUGCCCAAGAGAUCGGGAUAACACCUGGAAACAGAUGCUAAUACCGGAUAACAACAGAUGAUGCCUAUCAACUGUUUAAAAGAUGGUUCUGCUAUCACUCUUGGAUGGACCUGCGGUGCAUUAGCUAGUUGGUAGGGUAACGGCCUACCAAGGCGAUGAUGCAUAGCCGACUUGAGAGACUGAUCGGCCACAUUGGGACUGAGACACGGCCCACACUCCUACGGGAGGACGCAGUAGGGAAUCUUCCACAAUGGACGCAAGUCUGAUGGAGCAACGCCGCGUGAGUGAAGAAGGGUUUCGGCUCGUAAAGCUAUGUUGUUGGUGAAGAAGGACAGGGGUAGUAACUGACCUUUGUUUGACGGUAAUCAAUUAGAAAGUCACGGCUAACUACGUG